rnacentral:lncRNA from 1 species
UUUGUUUUUUGUUUUUUAACUAAAUUAUUUUUAUGAACACGAGCUCAAGAUCAGAAGAGCACUUUCAAAAUGAGCAUAGUUGUUUUNNNNNNNNNNNNNNNNNNNNNNNNNNNNNNNNNNNNNNNNNNNNNNNNNNNNNNNNNNNNNNNNNNNNNNNNNNNNNNNNNNNNNNNNNNNNNNNNNNNNNNNNNNNNNNNNNNNNNNNNNNNNNNNNNNNNNNNNNNNNNNNNNNNNNNNNNNNNNNNNNNNNNNNNNNNNNNNNNNNNNNNNNNNNNNNNNNNNNNNNNNNNNNNNNNNNNNNNNNNNNNNNNNNNNNNNNNNNNNNNNNNNNNNNNNNNNNNNNNNNNNNNNNNNNNNNNNNNNNNNNNNNNNNNNNNNNNNNNNNNNNNNNNNNNNNNNNNNNNNNNNNNNNNNNNNNNNNNNNNNNNNNNNNNNNNNNNNNNNNNNNNNNNNNNNNNNNNNNNNNNNNNNNNCUUCCUUUUACAACUUUGUUGCUCCUGCUGGUAUUUCAUAUUUCAGUUGAGGGAGAGCGCGAUGGAGAGGAUGACACAUAUAGUGGUUGGUUUGACAACCAAGGCUAAACAUCUCGUCGAAGUCACAACGUCUUGUUCUUGUGAGGAACCACGAGAUUAACCCAAUCAGCCUUUUACCGGUCGAGGAAGCCGUCAGGGUGGAACUUGGGACGCAAAAUCAAUUUGUUGAAGACGAUGUUGGCGUUGAAAGGGGGGACACACAAGAUCCCAAGUGUCGUUGCCGAUGAGGGCGAUGUACUCACCUAUCAUGGUGACGAACUAGUGAGGGUCUUUGAGAGCACCCCGAAUGGCCGCAUCCGUUGCUGGCUCGGAGGCUGACUCGGUCAACGCCGAUAUCUUCGCGCGCCGGUUACGUUGUUUUAAUACUUGUUGAACAUUAUUGUGAUGCACGUUGAUUUUUUUCAAAUACAUGAUUAAUACUUUUUCAAAUACACAUUAAAAAAAUACCUGUUGUUUUCUAAAUAGUUAUGGAACAGAGGGAGUACAUGAGAAACAGUUUUUUUAAGGUACAAACACCUUUUAGAACCACAAUGACAAAAAAAUACAUUUCCUGAACAUUUUUAUAAUCCACAAUGAACAUUUUCUAUAAACUAAACAAAGUAUUUUUUAUAUGUAUGUAUAUUUUUUAAAGCAUUUUCAGGAAUAAAUAUACGUACGAAAAAUAAAAACAAAAAGCCUUCCACAUGGGGAAAACAAAACAGAAAUAGAAAAAAACUCUAGUGGGCUGACCUACUACUGGUUGCCUUUCAAGGCGAGAUGUACCUCUCUGAUGGGGGUGACACGGGGAACCGAGUGGGACCGGAUUCCUCAAACUCAGACGGUGAAACUAAAGCUUGGACAAAAAUGUGGAAGGUGGAUGUGCCAUCGAAGAUUAAAAUCUUAUUAUGGAGGUUGGCCCAUCAGUGGCUUCCGUCAGCUGAUUUGGUACAUCAUCGACACAUGACAACAUCGUCGUGUUGUGGAUUAUGCGGCGCUGAUGAUUCAUGGGUCCAUUCAUUGCUGCAAUGCAACAUGGCACACUGCGUAUGGGUUCUUGAGGACCGAGACCUAGUUCACGUUACUGAGAACAACGAGAGCCUGAUGCUAAAUGUGGGAUAUUAGCGCUCAUUGAAGCUCUACCACAUGAUGAUUUUAUUAGGGUUCUAAGAGCAUCUCCAACAGCCGCGCAACGCGCCGCGCGCAAAAAACGCAUUUGCCGCGCGCCGUUCGCCUGGUUUGGCGCGGCCGGCAGCGCUGGCUCCAGCAGACGCGUCAAAAUUGAGCCCGCGCGUAGCUCCAGCGGCCACACUAAAAUGUUGCGCGCGCUAAACAUUGCAUACAUUUUUUUAAAUAAAACGAUAAAUAAAAUUCAUAGAUAGAAAAAACGGUACGUAGAUAUUUUACAUAGUUCCAUAGCAUAGAUAGAUAAAAACUAUUAGAUAGUGCAACGACAUAGAUAAAAACUACUGGAUAUUGCAACUACAUACGCAACUACAGCCUACUCCCAGUCGUCGUCGUCAUCGUCAUCGUCGCCAUCCUCGCUGGUCUGGUCCGAGGUAUCGAGCCACAUGUCAUCCCAACGAUCAUCAUGGUGGCGCGUCGGUGGCGGGGCGCUGGAGCGGUGGCGCGCGUGGCAGCGGAAGCAACCGAGGAAGCGGUGGAGGCGCGCGUGGCAGCGGAAGAGGAAGAGAAGUGUGUGGAAUAGGCGCGUGACGAGCGCCACAAUUUAUAGGCGCGCCGGAAGCGGUGCGCCAAAAAUAGCGCGCGACCUGCCGCCUUUUCCCGCGCGCGACUUUUCCGCCACCGCUGGAGCGCGCCAAAGCGUCCCGCGCGCGCUAAAAACUCGGUUUACCGCGCGCACGCCUUUUGGCACUCACGCAGGAAGGAUUUACACGAGCAGAUUCUUCAAUCACCUCAAUCCACACAAUUCUUUGUAAAUAAUUUUAUCAGGGAACUCGAGGAGUGCAGACCGAAGAAAACUAGCAUAUCCCCAACGGUAGGCGUGGUGCACCGACAUUGAAUCGCUCCAGUUGCUGGCACAACUAAGAUUAGAGUGGACGGGGCCGUGUCACGUCAUUCAAGCGAGGGCUCUUAUAGUGCCAUAUGCAGGAGUGACACGUGUAAUUACAUGGGCUCGUCGGCGAUUAAGUGCUCAGGUAUCACUUCGGCUUAUAUCUGGCCAUGGGCCGGGCCGGGCCGGGCUUGGGCCGGGCCUGAAAAAGCCCACGGCAGAAAACUGAGGUCCAGGCCCUCCCAGGCAGUAUCAUCGGGCCUACUUUUCAAGCCCAAGCCCGGCCCAUCUGGCAAAAAGCCCUGAAAAGCCUUUAGGGCUUAGGGCCGUGGGCCGGGCCUCUUCCUUAAAAUGCCAAUAUGCCAAGCCCAAGCCCGUCCAGGCCCUGCUGGUGGGCUCAAAACUCAGGCCCAAGCCCGGCCCAUGGGCAAGCCCAUCGGGCCUAGGCCCUGGAUUUUACGGCCGGGCCUGGGUGGGCCGACAGGGCCGGGCCUGAGAUGGCCAGGACUACUUCGGCUACUCUUGAAGCACUGCCCUGUCAGGAAGCUCUUUCACUUUCCCUUGGCUCUCGUUAUCACAUGUGGUCAUAGCCUCUGACUGUCAAUAAGAAAUCAACAAUUCCCAAGGGCACUGGCGGGCUGUAUACUAGCAUCGUAAAGGAUAUUAUUUCAACGGCAACCCAAUUGCAAGAAUGUUCUUUCAUCCUUGAAGGAUGUGCCACGAACUUUGAGGCAUAUAGCCUCGCUAAACAUACUCUAAGCCUAUCUUUAGGACGCCAUGUGUGGCUCCUCAAUCCUCCCACCCUAGAUUGUAUAACCAUGAAUUGUGAUCAAUAAAGGGGAGUGCGUUUUAGACUAAAAAACCUAGGGAGCCGAGUGGGACCUCCUAUAUGACGGAUCCGUCAUAUAGGAUCGCGACGCUCAAGAGUGACGCGACUGGGCCCAAGCCCACCAGGGCACAUAGCGAGUUAUUUUUUAGUGUGACAAAAACAUCCCAGAAACACACUAUGCUGCGGAGGAUGCAAACUCAAGACCUGAUACUGCUGAACACCUGCUCCUAUGGCCUCCAUUUGGUAAAAUAACUGACGUGGUUUAGUUUGAACUAAAACCACAUCAGUUGUUUCCGAACGGAGGGAGCACAACCGAUGGCUUCUCAUGAUUUAAGAACACAUACAACGUUGGGAUUUGGACACAUUUUAGAAAAAAAUCGAAACAUUUUUUGCAAAUCAUAAAUAAUUUUGAAAUGCCGAAUAUGUUAAAAACACACAAAAAUGAACAAUUUUAAUAAAAAAGGUCAACAAUUUUUGUAAUUCCAUUUUUUCUGGAAAAUGUGAACAAAUUUCGGUAUAUCACACAUUUUUUGACAACAUGAACAAAUUUUGAAAACGUAAACACUUUAUGUAAAUUCCUAAACAAUUUUUCAAGUGUGAACAAUUUUUGAAAAUUCUGAAUAUUUUUCUGAAAACUCGUUUUCUAAACGGGAACAAAAUCAAAUUCAUGAACAAAAAAUUAAAUUCAGAUUUUUUGUUGAAUUUUUGAACAUUCAUGAAAGUUUUGAACAAUUUUUUGAAAAUGAGAAACGGUUUUCAAAAUUGAUUUUUCUUGAAAAAUAUAAAGAAAGUACGAAACUUCCAUACAUGGAAUUUUUCGAAUUUAUGAAAAUGAAAAAAGAAACAUAGAAAACUAGAUGAUAAAUUAAAAAAAUUAUAAACAUAAAAAUGAAAGAGAAGAAGAAGAACAAAAAAAAAGCAAAACUGUGCGGCCUCUUACAUACUACAAGUGGGCCGACCCACUACAUCGAGCCUUUUGUGUUUCACCCAACCUCGUACGUUUCUAUCGUUUCUUAUGCUUUAUGUUUAAGUUUUUUGAUUUAUUUUGCCUUCGUUAAUACGUCUAAAUAUUCUAAAAAUAUAUAAUAAAUAUUUUUUAUUUUUAAUACUUCUACAUAUUUUCAAUAUUUUGAAAAAAAUCUAAAAAUAUAUAACAAAACAUGUUAACCAAGAAUUUAAAAAUCAGUAAAUGCGUAUAGUUGAAAAAUCUCAUGUAUACGAAAAUGCAUAAAAAAGAGAAUGUGUAUCAAAAAAUAUUAAUCAUGUAUUUAAAAAUAUAAAUUGUGUACAUAAAUAUUUCUGAUGUAUAUCAAAAAUGCAUAAUGUGAUGCUUGCUUUUAAAUUGCAUGCGGUCAGCUUGCCGGUUAGGGACAGUGCAAAAUCGCCAUACAAGCAUGCAUGCAUGCAAGUGAUAAUGUCAGCAUAAUUAUUUUCAUAUUUCCAAAUUUAAAAUGUUUUAUCUCAAAUAGAAAAUUGAUUUUUAAUGCGCUUUCACUAUUAAAUUCUAGCGCCGAGAUCAUUGAAACUACAUCCCAUGUUGAUACAUUUUGACGACUUUUUUUGGGGUCAAUAGUUACCACGUCUCAGCUACGUAUCAGUAUGUUAUCAUGCCUGCAGUAUAAAAGUUAUCAUGUUGUUUGCACGGAAGUUAUGAUGGGCAUAAAAAUGGUUUCCCAACCUUCUUUCCACAUUCGCAAUAGGACAAAAUGUUAAUGUCAUUCUAGAUUCUCUCGUUCAAAAAAAAUUAUAUUUUGUAGAUCAGACAUUGGUCACGUUCAAAAUCCAUUUUCACCAUUAAUCUGUCGCAACGAGUCAUUAAAAACUAGAUCUCAUGUUGAUAUGUUUGAUGAUUUUUUAGGUCAAAAGUUACCAUGCCUAGACUACGUAAAUUAUCGCGCCUAGUGUUGGGGAACGUAGUAAUUUCAAAAAAAAUUCCUACGCACACGCAAGAUCAUGGUGAUGCAUAGCAACGAGAGGGGAGAGUGUUGUCCACGUACCCUCGUAGACCGACAGCGAAAGCGUUAUCACAACGCGGUUGAUGUAGUCGUACGUCUUCACGAUCCGACCGAUCAAGUACCGAACGCACGGCACCUCCGAGUUCUACACACGUUCAGCUCGAUGACGUCACUCGAACUCUGAUCCAGCCGAGUGUUGAGGGAGAGUUUCGUCAGCACGACGGCGUGGUGACGAUGAUGAUGUUCCACCGACGCAGUGCUUCGCUUAAGCUCCGCAACGGUAUUAUCGAGGUGUAAUAUGGUGGAGGGGGCACCGCACACGGCUAAGAGAUCUCAAGGAUCAAUUGUUGUGUCUCUGGAUGCCCCCCUGCCCCCGUAUAUAAAGGAGCAAGGGAGGAGGCCGGCCCUAGGAGGGGGCGCACCAAGUGUGGAGUCCUACUAGGACUCCCUAGUCCUAGUAGGAUUCCACCUCCCAUAUGGAAUAGGAAAAGAGGAAGGGAAAAAGAGAAGGAAGGAAGGGGGCGCCCCCCUUCCCUAGUCCAAUUCGGACCAGACCAAGGGGAGGGGUGCGGUCACCCUUGAGGCCCUUUUCCUUCUUUCCCGUAUGGCCCAAUAAGGCCCAAUACGUAUUCACGUAACUCUCUGGUACUCUGAAAAAUACCCGAAUCACUCGGAACCUUUCCGAAGUCCGAAUAUAGUCGUCCAAUAUAUCGAUCUUUACGUCUCGGCCAUUUCGAGACUCCUCGUCAUGUCCCCGAUCUCAUCCGGGACUCCGAACUCCUUCGGUACAUCAAAACUCAAUAAAACUGUCAUCGUAACGUUAAGCGUGCGGACCCUACGGGUUUGAGAACUAUGUAGACAUGACCGAGACACCUCUCCGGUCAAUAACCAAUAGCGGGACCUGGAUGCCCAUAUUGGCUCCCACAUAUUCUACGAAGAUCUUUAUCGGUCAGACCGCAUAACAACAUACGUUGUUCCCUUUGUCACCGGUAUGUUACUUGCCCGAGAUUCGAUCGUCGGUAUCUCGAUACCUAGUUCAAUCUCAUCUCGUUACUGGCAAGUCUCUUUACUCGUUCCGUAAUACAUCAUCCCGCAACUAACUCAUUAGUCACAAUGCUUGCAAGGCUUAUAGUGAUGUGCAUUACCGAGUGGGCCCAGAGAUACCUCUCCAACAAUCGGAGUGAUAAAUCCUAAUCUCGAAAUACGCCAACCCAACAAGUACCUUUGGAGACACCUGUAGAGCACCUUUAUAAUCACCCAUUUACGUUGUGACGUUUGGUAGCACACAAAGUGUUCCUCCGGUAAACGGGAGUUGCAUAAUCUCAUAGUCAUAGGAACAUGUAUAAGUCAUGAAGAAAGCAAUAGCAACAUACUAAACGAUCGGGUGCUAAGCUAACGGAAUGGGUCAAGUCAAUCACGUCAUUCUCCUAAUGAGGUGAUCCCGUUAAUCAAAUGACAACUCAUGUCUAUGGCUAGGAAACAUAACCAUCUUUGAUUAACGAGCUAGUCAAGUAGAGGCAUACUAGUGACACUCUGUUUGUCUAUGUAUUCACACAUGUAUUAUUUUUCCGGUUAAUACAAUUCUAGCAUGAAUAAUAAACAUUUAUCAUGAUAUAAGGAAAUAUAUAAUACUUUAUUAUUGCCUCUAGGGCAUAUUUCCUUCACCUAGUCUACCUAAUUUUCAUGAGUGUGCUAAGUCAGUUUCCAUGCCUAGCCGAAUUAAAGGAGACAAGAGCAACAACCAAAAGAAAUAUGAGAGGAAGCUUUUCACAAAUACUACGCUGGUAAUGUUUUAAUUUUCGCUUGAUAUAUUAAACUUUGACAACUUCCGUCUCAUAUUAUUGCAGUGAAAAUAAACUUGGUUACAUUACUUGAUUGCUUUAGAUAAUGUGCCUGUGGCACUCAAGUAUCCAACAUACCGAUUGCACCUCUCAUUUUGGGGGCACCACCUCUCAUUUUAGGGGCACCGACAGGUUGAGAUUAGCAUCACUAGAUCUGGCUAUUUUCUUCGUUGCAAUGUGUUUUCUAUAACAUUCAUACUGAAUGGAGAAAAGGGGAAAAUGUGGCAACAAAAGGUUCUUAACUCAGGACCAUUGUUUAAUUAAUGCCACAUGCAAAAUUUCAAUAGUUGAGACAUAUAUAUUUCUUUUUUAUGUGUCCAUUGUAAGAAAAAUGCUAUGUGCCUAAUCUAGAUGAUCAUGUUCUCAUUUUUUUCAAUCAUGAUUGCAUUAUAUAUUUUUAUGUUUUGUGCUUACUGUGUUUUUUCAUAGGUUCCGGCUGCAACGUGCAGGGUAUCUACUAGUUACUUCAAAGUGCACACACACUUUUUUACGGUUGCGAGCGGCCGCUACGCGACAGCCUGUCCUCUGUUUCUUUUGUUUGGCCAAUGCGCUCAUGCAUAUGAUGACAGACAUUCUCACUCACUUGAUCCAGCGCUCCUCAUGUUGCAUUAUGCAUCCUCCCUUGCAUGUGACUGAUUUAAUUAACUAUGUUUUAUACAAAUUCAAAAAGCCAUACCUUUUAAACCAUGUGUCGGAAUUCAGAUCCGUUUUCACCGUUAGAAUCCCCGAGAUGAGAUCUUUGAAACUAGGCCAUGCACUGGUAUAUUUCAAUGAAUUUUUUCCAAUGCCAAUUUUGGUGCUAUACGGUGCAACUGUAUUGCUACAUGAUGCAACUUUGAGACUGCAUGGUGCAAAAAAUUCAAAACCAACUUUAGAACUGCAUGAUGAACUUCCUAUGCAACCUAGCAACCAUAACAACCAACUUUUUAUGAUGUCCAACUAGUUUGCUGCCCCAGCCAACUACCUAGUAGUCAAUGUGCAACUCCCCUCGCUACUAAUGGAUAUGUAGUUUUUCACUCCUCGGACACACUGCCCCACCUACCCUACCAACAAUGUGUGCAACUCAUUCCCCUCCCUCUUUCGUGGAUGUGUAGUUUCAGUUGGCAGGGUAACAGAUGGAGUUGCACAUACUGCCCUAGGCAGUUGGCCGAGGCGACCCGCAAAGUUGCACAUUUCACAGGCAGGGAUAGUUGGAUGGCGAAAAUUGCACAUUGAUGAGGGUAGUGAAAAGUGGCAUAUAGACACGGUUACAGGAGUUGUACACUCUCGUCGGCAUAGUCGCGCACGCACAACCUCGGAUUUCUACACACUUGUCGGCAUAGUCGCACAUACGCGGCCGAGGAGGUGAACAUUCUCGCCGGCAUAGUAGCUUACGCACGAUUGCAAGAGUUGCACAUGUGCGGCGGCAUAGUCACACACACACACACACACACACACACACACACACACACACGACUACGGAGCUGCACACUCCCCUUGGCAUAGUACCUCACGCAUGGCCGCGGAGUUGCACACUCUCAUCGAUAUAAUCGCACACGCAUGGUAGCGGAGUUGUAUAUCUCACUGUUAGGGGUUAGUUUGGGGUGGAGGUGCCAUCCGUGAAAAACUGCACAUCCAGUAGGGGGAAAGUUGCACAUCGACGUAAGUAAUUGCACAUCAACUGCUAGACAGUUGCACCAAACAGGGAAUAAAUUGCACAUAAUUUUUUUCUGAAACAUGCUCACCCGGGAUCUAGUUUCGAAAAGUACGUCGAAAGAAUUCCUAUGGUGAAAGCGGAUAUUAAUUUUGAUGUUUGGUUAAAAAAUUAUUAAUUAUUUUAGAAAAAGAAAACCAGACUUAAAUGCGUUCACACCUGUGCAUAUCAGUGAAGAGUGAAAAUUGCACAUUCACGAGUAGCGAGAAAGUUGCACAACGACUGUCAUAUAGUUGCACAUUGACUGCUAGACACUUGCACCAAACGGGGAUUAAACUGCACAAAAAGUUCAUCGAAACAUACCCUUGCGGGAUCUAGUUUUGAAAAGCACGUCGCAUGGGUUCCAACAGUGAAAACGGAUCUUAAUUUCGACGCGCGUUUUAAAAGUUACGACUUAAAAAAACACAAAUUAAAUGCAUUCACAUAUGUUCACAUGGGUGCUUUUGUAUUUUUUUCUGUUUACAUUUUACAUUCCUAAUAUAGAUUAUAUUUUUCCUUAUAUGGAUCAGGAAGACAAAUUAUUUUCUUUUAUGGAUUAUUAGGGGACCAAAUAUUUCCUUUUUGGUCAGCCACUCUGGAUCACUAGGGAGCAUCCGGCUGCUCCCUAGAUGCGUUCAUAUUCGUCAUGAGUUCCCUAGCCUUCCUGCGAGAAAAUGGAAUAGAAACGUCAGCUUUACCGAAAUCCGUCGAUAUGCAACUCAAUACCUAGUACUCAUUCUUGGGUUGAUAUCGUUAGGUACACAAGUGGCAGAUAAGAAAGAAGAACAAAAGUACUUUGCCAGCCUAACAUCAUAGCAGCAUUUGGAGGACACUCAAAAGAGACGAGCAUAAGAGAGUAGUUACCGUAGUUCACGUUCAAUCUCAGCACUCUGAGGAUCCAAGUUUUGUGCAUCCAACAGAGCAUCAUAGGCUUGUUCAUACUCCUGGGUGUAGAGAAAAUCAAAGAAAGUGACCAGACUGAAGAUCAGUAUGAAAUACGACACUGGCAAUGUCAAGUAGCUAGACUCACCUCGAGUAGCAUGAGAGCUGCACCUUCACGGUAGAAAACUUUUGCCCAUUGAGGUCGCAACAUUCUACACCUGAGAGCAUCUGACAAAGCACCUUCACCAUCUCCCAUUAGCAGUUUAGUAAGACUCCUGUUCGCGUACAGUGCUGCACUCUCUCCAUGACUUAUUGCCUACACUCAACAGAAAGAAGACAUGGAAAUAUUAUUCUAAACUUAAAAUGGUGGCGUACAAAAGUUUUUUCUAAUGCUUAUUCAUGGACAGGUAGAAAACUGUCUAAAAGCUUUACUACUAGGUACUCCCUCCGUAAAGAAAUAUUAUUUCUUUACGGAGGGAGUAAUAUACUGCAGAAUGGGGUAGACAUCAAAUCAGACACGUAAAUAGAAAAAGUGGACAGCCAUAUAAAAUAUUUAUAUGAGCUGAGAAGAAAAAAUAACUUCAAUUUCAUGGAUUUGGGAGAUGUAAUAAGUCAACGAAAGUUUGACAUGUACAAAUUAUUUAAAAUAUGUUUCUCAACUGAAUUCAAAAUUUACUUACUAUGCAUGACCUGCGUGAGUUAAUUAAGACCAGUCUAAAUCAGUGACAAAUUACAUGAAAUCAUGUCAACUACAUACAUGACAAAUUAACAAUUGAUAUAUCUAGAGAAGUAUGAGAACUAACUCCAUCUACAUCUGACCUAUUUGUUGUUCCAUAUCCCUAAUAAUAUGCAUCGAGAAGCAGGCAAACGUAGCUUUUACUCAUUCCUUGUCACCCCCUAAACGGGCUCCAUGAGAAAAUCUUCUUUCACUCUACUCAAAUAGUAAGAUGCAUGACUUUAAACACAUUCUUAAUGUAUACUCUCUUCAAAUUAUAUUAAUUUUAGAUGGGCAUUGCUCAGAUCCAGUCGUAACUUUAGUUGAUCUAAUUAGAGUAUAUAGUAAGAAACCCACUUAGUAAAAACAGAAAAUGCGCAUAGAUUGGUUAAUUGGUUCCUGAUUAACAAGCAAAAUCUUACCACCUAAACUAUAAGAGGUUAAGUAAAAGAGGGUUACCAUGUCAUACAACUCUGAUGCCAGCUUAUAGUCCUUCUGCUUGAAUGCUAUAUCAGCUUGUAACUUUAAGAAACUUUUUCUUCUUUGGCAAUUCUUUUGAUCCUGGAAAAUACAUAAGGAAACAAUGAACUGAAUGUUCGAAUUUUGGUAAUAAUGAUCAUUUACUAUGAUAAUUUGUAUCGUGGAGAAAUUCAACAAGAUUGUGUUCAACACUCUAGUUAGGUGUCUAUACUAGGUGGGUAGCUCUUUGACAUGCUUAUGCUACUGCUCAUGCUGCUUCGCAUGGGGUGUCAACUUAGUCUAUGGAUUGGUUGUCCAACACCCACCCUAGCUAGGCGGAGUUAUUUUUCUUGUAACCUUUGGACGUGAUGGUUUGUGUGUAUCUUGCGAAGGCGGGACUGGGUUUGUACUCAUUGUCUAGAGCCGAUCUUAUUGUGUUUGUACUUUCCAAGCUUGGAAGUAGCAAAACUCUUUUACUCAAUGAUUUUUACCGAGUUUGGUUAGUAUUUUAAAUUCAUUACAAUCCGGAGUUUGUUUAUUUUGUGUUGCAUUAACGAAUUGAUAGUGCAUACCACACAUGGGUUCAUUAUGUCUAUUGUUAGGCAGCCCUCUUGUUAGACCAGGGCUAGAUGCUACCUCAGCAUGAUCACAUUACCCUUCUAAAUUACAGUUAAUUUGUUAUAGGCUAGUCAGGAGUUAAAAAAAUUAUCUUUAUGAUUAUCACAAAUUGGGAAACCUAAGAUUACACCAAUAAAAAGUCGUGGUUAUCUCAAUGUACAUACAAUGUCAUGCAUAUAGUAACCAUAGUUUAUAAUAGCACUUAAUGGACAAAUUCAGAAUAGAAUACCAAAAUUAAACUUAAGCUUUCAAGCAAUAUUCAGUAGUACAAAACAAUACACGAACAGAAACAUACCAGUGGCUUUUUGGCUUCAAUCUUUGCAUGAGAAAUUACACCCUCAAUAGUCCAGUUUGGGACAUUUGGAAUUGGGGAAGUCAAAGGAAACAGCAUUUCAACCUCUUCCCUGCAAUCACGUGCCGCAGCAAGCUGUACUGGCAACCAACCCAACUGGGCAAUGGAAGGAAAAAUAACUGUCAUUCAUUGUCUAAUUUAGAAAUGUCAUUCAAAAAGGGAACCAGUUGGGAUAUAGAAAAGAACAUGAACAUUACGCCGUUUAAUCAAUGCAAGAAAUGUAAUAUUAUCACAAAGUUAACAGUAUCUAAGUACAAGUAAAUAGCAACAUUUGUAGAAUAAAAAUAGCUUUGGUACUUCAAUAGGAACUCAAUAACUGACAAUCAACGGAAAAUGACAAAUAGAUAUAAACCAUUGAGAAUUGGGAUGCAUCCCAGUGCUAGACUUGCAAUCGUGUCGCCGCGCUCACCGGGGUUCAAUUGCCUGCGGCGAAUUAAUACCACAUUAUGGGAGGAGCCCUCAUAGAAACUAUUUGCUAAAUGAUAUGGAUUGUUUUGAUGCAAGGUAAGACAACUUUACUAGGCACAAGGUACAAUUUCCUGUUAGUAUAAUCAACGGCGCAAAGCAACCUAAAAGCAUUCCCAAAUAACUCCCCAUCAUAAUGAGAAAAGUUGUAUAAAAGUACCACUGAAAGCUUUAUGAGAAUGCGGCGAUAUGUUGCAUAGAGACCAACAAAAUAUAUAGAGAAAAAUACAAAACAUACAUCAUCAGAAACAUUAGCAUCUGCUCCAACAUCCAAGAGGAACUGAAUGAAGUUGGUAUAACCUCCUCGCGCCGUAGCAAACCCCAAAGGAGUGAGACCGAAAGUCUUCCAAUUAACAUCGGCACCAGCCUGUGAAAAGGAUUGUGCAAAUGAGUAUUAGCAAUGAUAUCUCCAUGUACAUCAGAGUAUAGAGAUGGUAGAGUAAGCAAAAUUACAACAUAGAUAUGGAGGAAUAAUCCAGAGAAUUCUAACCUUAACGAGCGUCUCCAUGCAUUUGAAUGAAUGCUUAGUAAGAGCCAUAAAGAAGGGACUUCCCAAACAAUGGACACUGAUAUUAGGCUGAAAGACGGAUAUUGUGUAUUAAUAAAUGCAGGUGACUCAAGAUUUUAUUUUUGAGAUAAGAAAAUAAGAAAAGUGAAGGACAUAUACAUCUGCGCCGUGGUCCAACAAAAUCUCCAAUGUCUUAUCUUGUCCGCUUUCAGCAGCCAGAAAGAGUGGUGUUCCACGACCAUAGUUUAUGUCGACUGGAACUCCUUCUGAAAGGAGGAACUUUGUUACCAUGCAGCAUCCUGUGAUAAACAAAAAUGAUCCCAUAAGUCAUGUUCUAACAAAACAUUUAAACAAAGGGAGUGUACUAGCAAAGCCUAUCUAGUAAAACGACCAACUUCAAGAAAUCAUGUGUGUGCCUGUGCACGCGCGCGCGUGUGCAUGUGGGUGUCAGGGUGAAGAACCUUUAGCCGCAGCAUGGUGAAGAACUGUGCGUCCUUUGUCAUCUGCUUUCGUUAAAUCACCACCACGAUCAAGAAAAUACUUAACGGUGGCAACAUCACCGGACCGAGCAGACACCAUAAAUGGAGUCAUACCUGUGAUAACAUAACAAGCACAUCGUCAACGCAAUCGAAGAUAUUAUGCAUGCUGGCAAACAUUGACAUGGAAGCCACCGGUUUUAAGCAUGAAGAAAGCGAUAGAUGAAGACCUUCAGCACCAGCUCCAUAUCCCGGAGCAUUCACAUCUCCCUUGAGCUCCUCCACCAAAUACUUGCUAACCUCCAGUUGGGCAAACAUUGCCGCGGCGUGCAACACAGAAACCCCAUCGAUGUUGAAAGAAAAAAUCGCCGAUGGGUCACCACUUCCUUUGGUAAGACUCUGUACAAUGCCUUUCCCAAAAGUAAACACCAUCACAAAUAGACCAAAUUAGCAAAGACAGAAGACCAAAAGAAAAGAAGCGAGAGCGUAUGUGAAAUUACUAUACAGCAAUUUCAUGAAGUUGAGGGGAGCAAUCUGAUACCUUUGAGGGAAUCGAGGUUUCCGGCGACGGCCGCUUUCAUGAGAGCCUUCGUAUCUGCACACGCGCGCGCACAGUCAGAAUUUUAGAAACGUAAUCAGGGGUCAGAAAGAAGGAGGGGAACGAACGCGGGAGCAAGCAGUCAGGGGCUACCUUCGAAGGAAUCUUUCAUGGGAGCGUCGUCGUGGAUGCCGCUACCUUCGAGGGGAUCGUUCAUGGGAGCCUCGUUGCCGGCGUCGUGGGUGUCGCCAGCGGAUGGGCAGUAGUUUAACUGAGACAUGGCCAAGGCUAGCGAUCACCGUCGAUCGAAGGCUUCGUCGGCGGCGGCGACGCGGAAGGGGAUGAGAACCCUGCGCUGCGCUGUGGUUCGGAGAAUCGGAGUUGGGGUUUCCCUCUACUCGGGUGUUGAGUCCACGCACUUUAUAUUGGCGGGCGAGGAAGGCGGGGGCGCGGCACAUUGGCUGGGCCCGGUGUUGGUGGACACGAAUCCCUACUCCGUAUGUGGCUCGUGCGCCCGCCAACGGUUACGAAGAGCAGGUGUAUCCACGACUCCGUGCUCAGGUGGGUGUGGCGCGCGCGCAGGUCCGAGGACGAGCAAAAAGGCUGCCGCGAGGAACCGCAGGCGCGCGCUGUUUCGCGGGACUCCUCGAGCAAAUCGUACCCCUUGGAUUUUGAAUGGAUGGGCCAGAUCCAGCGCUGCAGGAAACUUGCAUAGAACUCUGCUGCUACUGCCUUUGCUUCGCUGCAGUCCGGGCCCUUCUUUGACUACCCCUUCUGCAGGCUUGGCCGCUUUGACUAAGAGUGACCUUUGCCCCAAAAAACACAACUAAGAGUGACGUCUCUGUGAUUUAUGAAAAACUACUUAAUUCCACCGGCUGAUUCCUUCCUCCCGUCAACCGCCUCCUCCUCCUCCGCUCGACACAUGCUCCUUGUGGGGCAUGCCCCCUGCCAACCUCUACAUUUUUUCUCCUUCGCACCUUCUCUUCUUCAUGUUUCCCUUUCGUCAUGUGGGGCCUCGCCAUGUCGGCUCUGGGGACGGGCUCCCUACGGCGACCACCCAUCUCCCAGCUGCCACAAAUCAAGAGAGGAUUCUGACGUCGACCAGGCAUGCGCAUCCGCCAAUCCCAACACUGAUGCAGCAUCACCGACGUCGUCAUGGAGCAUCCAAUGGAAGCAGCAUCGAGCGCCACAGGUGGUACGAUGGAGCUUCUGCGCUUGGUCGUCAGCAUUGUGAUAGAGCAUAGUGUGCGGUCGCCAGUGGCAGAGGACGAAAAAACAAUUUAAGGUGGGGCGGACCUUGCACUGACAACCGUUGCGGCAACACGUACGCCAGCCAACAACGGCCUCUAGCAAUGCCGCUACGCCGCUACUGCUCACAUGUCGUAGUAUAGCCAGCUUGGAGAGCUAGGAUUGAAGCAACCCCGGGUAAAAGAAAUAAGUUCGACCACAUGAAGUAACUUUGUCACUUAUAACUACCCAAAAAUACGUAAAAUUCCUGAAAAAUACCUCAAAUUUACAAAAGAAGCUCAAUUUCUUAACAGAUCUGCAAUUUAAACUCAAUGCUCAGCAAUCUAACAUAAAAUGACUUUGGUAUAAAAAUGCUUCAAUUUAGUUCAACAACGCAUAUAUGAAUACAUACACUGGGACUGCACACACAACCAUUUUUCAAUUAAAUUCAAUUCCAUGCACGAUGCAUUGUGAGAAAAUUACAAAGCACGAAAAUUUGAGUUCAUUGUCACAUAAGCAGAUAUAAGCUCCUGCAUAAGCUGGCUAUACUACGUCCAAAACCUGGAGCCAAGCACCGGUUCUCGUAUCUCCUCAUGGCCUCAUCUAAUAAAAUUACCAAACGGUGAUACGCUCUAAGAAAAUUACCAAGGAUGAAUAGACAUUUACUCUUUUUUUUUAGAAACAUGAAUAGACAUUUACCGAGCGACAAGGAAGCCGCCAGCCAAACGAUACUGACGCGCUUGGGCCUUUCUUUUCUGGCCUUCUGGGUUGUGCUGGGCUGAACCCAAGCCCCAUACGACCAUGUCCUCUUUUUUCUUCCCAGCCAUCCAGCGAUGUACCCUGUACCCUCGACCGGAUGCGUACGCAGCGACGCAGCGUACCUGUAUAUAGUCUUGCGCGAAAUCAAGGUAGGGCGGGCGCCCGACCUCGCCCUACCGAGUCCUCCGCCUGUGGCGGUCGCCGGUACUGCGAUGGAGCAUCGCCGGCUCUGCGACGACAUCAUGAUGCAACGGCGACCGCAACGGGGCAACAACUCCGGUGAUGUUGCACAGCCACCGGUGUUACAAUGGAGCAUCACCGGCUCUACGACCAUUGUUGUGAUGCAAGCUACUAGGCGAGCGACUACCACUGCAAAUGUCGCCGAGGGUCGAUACUGUAGUGGUGUUGCAAGCUGGUCGGGCAUGGCUACUAGUUGGAGUCACGUGUGUGCUGUGUUGCAGCAUUCUUGGUUGCGGCGAGCGCGGCAUUUGUUACGAGUUGGUUGUGUGCGGCUGUUCGUCGAAGCCACAUGGAUGCUGCAUUGCAGCAUGCUGCUCGGUCGCGGCAAGCUUGCUAGUGUUUUGCUACAAGUCAACCGGCGGCGCAACUCCAACAAGCGGGUGCUACGAGAUGCUGCAUUGCAGCAUGCUCGGUCGCGGUGAGCUUGCUGAUGUUUUGCUAUGAGUCGACCGGUGGCGUGACUCCAACAAGCAAAUGCUACAGGCUGGCAAGCAUGCGCGAGGAACCGGGAUGCUACUUUGCAACUUGCGCGGUUGUUGCCGAUGUGUUGCGGGAAGCAUGGAAGGUGAGAUUGAAGAGAUAGUGAGAUCAACUCAAAAGGAGGGUCAAGCGGACCUAUUCGGGAUUCAACGGCUACCGAGGCAGGUGAUUCUUUCCCAAGAUCAAUCGGCUGACACCUAGCAGUCCCCUUGAUUUAUUGGGAUCACUUUGCAAAUCGGAUCAGUCAAUGAGGAUCUAGUUAAGCGUUAAACAACAUAUUAAUGCUACGUGCAUGACCCUCUCAGUUAUUUAUAAAUUGGUGGAUUCUAUGUUGAGCAAAUACAAUACAAAAUUAGAGCAUGAUUGGUUUGGUGAAAAAAGUGGCAGGCCAAUCGGCACUGCCAAGUAUUGACUAUGAUUACCAAGUUGUCUACCAAUCUCACAUAAAAUUUCUAAUGUCUGACAGAUCUUGGUAUUUUUAAUAUUUGGCAAUGCUAAAAUUUGGUUAGCCAAGUAUUGGCAGUAUAAACCGAUCAUGCUCUAAAAAGCAUAUCGUCGACAAAAGCAAUGUCACCGUACAUGGCCAACCGCACUCACGGCCCGACGACUUCAACUUCGCUGCAACUUCACAGAAAAGCACCUUUCCACCGCCACAAGCAUAUUUAGCAGCCUGAUCAACACGACAACACCAGAGAAGAGAAGACAUGUUCAAGAGAGCGGCAGGCAUGAGCAGCUCCGGUUCUGAGAGAACGGCCAACAUGACUUGUACGCUGCUGAGCAGCCUCAACCGCAGAGAGGUCCUAUCAAUUUCCUGCACCCAUAAGCCCCGAAAAGCUUCACUGACGGUGCGGGCACCCUAUGCACUUUAUCAAAAGGUUGGACACAAAGACAGACACACAAUGGUACCGCAAAAAUAUGCUCUUAUUUGAGGGAAAUGUACAAGAACCAGACACAAUAAUCCACCCUACUUGUAUACCUGAGAGACCGAGUGAUCAUGAAAGAUAAGAAGCCUUGCACAGAAACUGGAUAAUUGGAAUUGCAUACAUACUCAUCCAAAAGCAAAAGGAACUGGCCACUAUGAUCCAAGGGCCAGACAAGAAAAUCUCAUCUCCUUAGCAAUCUGAAGACGCAACAUUCGCGACACGUUUCAGCCUUUUGGUUCAAAUAAAAAACACAAGGAUUAGAAGUUGAUGCUGACUCCACUUUUAGUAAGAACCGGCACAUGUUGCAGCCUGCAGUUCAACACAUGCACGCCCUUCACUGCUCGCCUUCAGCAGGAUGAUUCUUCAUGAGUUCCCUAGCCUUCCUGCAUGAAUUCGAAACCAUAAGGAAUGAACUGCACAAGUCCUUCACUAUGCAGCCCAAUAAGGAAUUGCACUAUACGUGACUGAGACAGAAGUGGCACAUAACAAACAAAAGAAGCUCUUCAGAGGCGUCUAAGAUUGCACUAGUGGCUUUUGCCGUGAUAGUCUAGUGUGCUACUACUGCUUCCCAUCACUAUAAAAGCACUUUGCCAACCUAAAAUCACUUUUUAACCAUACAAAACAGCUGCAUGUAUUGAUUAAUAUAGAAGAUUACACGCCAAAGAUGGCCCGAUACAUACAAUGCUCAAAGAACACACGACCAAAGGAACGCCAAACCGGGAAGGACCUAGCCAUACCUAGACAAAUGCAAAGUAGGAGUACAAGUGUACAACAUGAGGGCACGGAAGCAACAACCAUCAGCGCAUGCAGCGCCAGUUAGUGUGACAACAGACCCCCGUACCGAGCCAACCUAAGACCAUACUGGUAUCGGGAAGAUACUCAGAGGAGAUAAGCGUAGGAGAGUGGGUUACCGCAGUUCACGCUCAAUUUCAGCAUUCCCAGGAUCCAGCUUUUGUGCAUCCAAGAGAGCAUGACAGGCUUGUUUAUACUCCUGAUGCAGAGGAGAUCAAAGAAUGUGGCCAGACUGUAAGAUCAAUAUGAAACAAGCCAUAAGUGAAGACACCGGCAAGCUAGAGGCACCUUGAGUAGCAUGUGAGCUGUAGCUUGACGGUAGCAAGCUUUUGCACAAUCAGGCCGCAGCAUUCUGCACCUGAGAGCAUCUGACAAAGCACCUUCACCAUCACCCAUGAGCAGUUUACAAAGACUCCUGUUUGCAUACAGUGUUGCACUCUCUGCAUGAUCUAUUGCCUACACUCAAAAGUUGGUCAUGCAAAUAUUAUUCUCAACAUAAAAUGAUGGCAUAAAGUUUCUUUUAUUCUAACGCUUAUUCAUGGAAUGGUAGAAAACUGUCUAAAAACUUUAGUAAUUUACUACCCAGUAAUACUGCAGAAUGGAGUAAUUGAACACGUUCUCUUACUAGACUGAUUGGCUUGUUCAAUUUACAUCUACGGUCAAUUUGGAUAUGCAGUCAACAAUCCUAAGUAGACAUUACAUCCUAAGUAGACAUUACAUCGAACACAUUAACAGAAACAGUAGACAACCACAUCAAAUAUUCAUAUUAGCCAAGAAGAAAAAAUAACUUCUCAGAGAUUCUGGAGAUGUAAGACAUCAGCGAAGUUUGACAUGUGCAAAUAAUGUCAAAGUGGUUUCUCAACUGAUGUCAAAUUUGCUUACUAUGCAUGAUAUAUGUCAGUUAAGAUCGAAUUCAAAUCAGUGACAAAUCAAUGUUCAUUUAUCCAUUACCUUGUACAUUUUCUGUUUUGGGGCCAUUCAAAGCUCAUAUUUACAUUAAAAAUAGUUAGAUAUCCUAAAUGGUUAACAAUGUAAAUAGAGUAUAGUAAGAAAACCUAGUUACUAGUAAAAAAAACAAAAUGCUCUUAAAUUGGUUCCCAUUAACAGAAAAAACUUACUAUCUAAACCAUGACAGGUUAAGUGAAAGAGGUUUACCAAACCAUACAACUUUGAUGCCAACUUAUACUCCUGCUUGAAUGCCGUAUUAGCCUGUAACUUUAAGAAAGCCAUUCUUCUUUCAACGUGCUUUUGCUCCUAGAUAACACAUAAUGAAACAUGAAUUGAAUGAGUGGAUUUUGGAAAUAAUCAUCAGUUACUAUGAUAAUUUGUAUCCAGAGAAAUGCAAUAACAUUUUGUUCAACAUUCUCAAUAGUUUGGUGUCUAGGUGGCUAUCUCUUUGACAUGAUUAUGCUGCAAUGCCUACUGCACAUGCUCCUUGGAGUGAAGAAAUCCUUUACUGGUUCUGAAGCUCAAAGUUCAGCUGCAGUCCAAAUUUAAGCUUCCAAACCGGCAUAAGGGGCAAAUAUUUCACUGGUUCAGAGAUUAGCUGUGCCAGGUUUUAUUUGAAUCAAACCAAAACGUCAAGGUCUUAAAGGGACUCCUUUGCAGUUAUAGGUAUAUAAAGUAUCCUAAAAAUGAGGAACAGUAGGCUCUCUACUUCAAAGAAGUAUGCUGCUGUACAACCGUCCUUCUCUUUAUCAUUGAAUGUUGUCGGCAAAGUUAGAACAAUGUUAGAAUCUACAAAACACCAGGUGGGGCCACAGAACAAGGUGUUGCUUCUUUCACGGAAAGAACCAAGGAGAAUACAUCACAUAUGUGCUCGCCUGUUAGGUACAUAAUGCGAUAAAAAAAGGACUCAGAAAUAUACAUGACAGAUAGCAUUUGCCCAGGCAUCAAGAAUUUAGUCACGAGAAAAGAGUGCAAGAUAAUUUUGUGCUGAACUAAAAAUAUAGUGUUCAUGUGACAUUAUUACUAGACUAGAUGCUAACGAAGCACACCCUUUACAUGAUGCUGGUGUAUUUUCCAACCAUGGUAUAGUAUCAAUAAUACCAUAACUAUGAACCAUCUUCAAGCAUCUCACUAUUCUCUACACAACAUAAGCUUAUGGCAGUUAAUAGAAUGAACUCUUUUAAGAUGCUCCACCUUACCUCACCAGAAGUAAGGUAAGGUUUAAAUAUGAGUCGUUUAUUGAUAGAGAUUAGUUUUGGCCUCGCAGAAAUAAUGCUAAUAAGCAACCGGUGGCGUAUUUAGGCAUCUAAUAGAUACAAAUCCUUCCAUAACAAAUGGUCACAAUUUUCUCUGGAAAAAAAAGGGUAACAGUCUGACAAUCGAUAUACAGUCAAAAUAUUGAUGUGGGAUCUUUAUCAUGUUCCAAUUAAUUGGUGUGAAUCAACAUCCAAUCCACAAGUGACAUACUUGAUUACAUAGCUAUCAAUAGACUCCUAAUGCUCAUUAAUAGAGGACUCUUCUAAUCAAUGAUCUUUACCAAUUAUUCAGCCCAAAAACCUGAGUGUGGUUAGCAUUUUAUAUUCAUUACAGUAGAGGGUUUGUUUAUAUUAUUGUGUUCUGUUACCAAAUUGAUAGUGCAUUCCACACAUGGAUUCGUGAUGUCUACUGUUAGACCAGGGCCAGAUGUCUCAGCACGAUCAUAUUGCCCUUCUAAAUGACAGUUUGUAGUUUGUUCUCAGCUAGUCAGCAGUUAAAAACUACUUUUAUGAUUAUCCCAAGUUGGGACACCUGAGAUUACCCCCAUAAAUAAGUCGACAUUCUCUCAAUGUACAUAUGGUGUCAUGGAUAUAGUAACCACAAUUAAUAAUAACAUUUAAUGAACAAAUUUAGGGCUGAAGAACCAAUUAAAGGUUUACCUUUCAAACAAUAUUCAGUAUAAAAACAGCAUAAGAACAGAAAAUAACAUACCAUUGGCUUUUUUUCUUCAAUUUUUGCAUAAGAAAUUACUCCCUCGAUACUCCAGUUUCGGACAUUUGGAAUUGGGGAAGUCAAAGGAAACAACAUUUCAACUUCUUCCUUGCAAUCACGCACCGCAGCAAACUCUAUUGGCAACCUACCCAACUGGGAAACAUAAGAAAAAGUAACUGUCAUUUAUUUUAAAAUUUAACAACAUCAUUCAAGAAGGGAAACAUUUGGAAUAUAGGAAAAGAACAUGAACAUUACGUAAUGUAAUAGUAUUUUUUAGAAAGAAGCAGGAUCUAAGUAAUAUUUUUAAUCAAAUGUAUCAACAGGGAAUUUACCCAGCAAGCAUUUUCAAAUAUUCAAACUGCCAACACAAGGUUUCAAUGACAGGAAUUUGAGCAAAAAAUAUUUUGUGGUGUCCCACUUGAGUCUCCAUUAAAUAAAUAGAUAAAACGCGAGGAGAAGUAGCUUUACAUGUGGUUUUUUAGCAGGUUCUUCAACUGAUAGUGGCAUCAAUAUAAACAGGUACUUUGAGUAAAAGAAUGAAAACAGAAUACCAACAGCAGGGAUGACGAACAUAAAGUAAACUAAACAAAAAGUAAAUUUAUUUAUUGUCUAUUUCAUGGGUACAUUUGAGAAAUGCUGCUACCCAGAAUUGUGAGAUCUCAGCAUCUGAUCAACUGUUAAGUAUGCAUCGAUAUAUGUUGCGAACUUGUUCGAUACAAGCAAGUACCAACAUUUUUAGAAGGGUAUAUGUAUAUAUGCUGGAACAGAAUAGGCAUACUUCUUCAAUAAGAACUCACUAACUGACAAUCAACAGAAAGUGACAAGUCUAAAGAUAGACAAUUGCAAAUUGGGCUGUAUCCUAGUGGUGGACGUGCGGUGGUCUCACCCCGCUGGCCCAGAUUCAAUUGCGCUGAGGCUAAUUAAUAUUUCAUUAUGGGAGGAGCCCUGAUAGGUCUAUUUAUUAAAUGAUAUGGAUUAUUUGGUUGAAAGGUCGAGCCAACUUAGGCACAAAUGCGAUUUCCCAUUAGCGUAGUCAACGACAUAAAGCAAACCUAAACUCAUGCCCAAAUAACUCCCGAACAUAAUAAGAAGAGCUGUAUAAUAUUAUCAGCAGAAGAUUUAAUAGAAAAUGGUGAUAUGCUGCAUAGCUGUCAGAAAACGCAGCCAGAUGCCAGAGGGGGAGGGGGGCAAACAGCGAACGUUGGAGCGAGCACUCAUCAGGGGCCAAGGGGCGCGCCGAAAGCCGUACGUACCGGCGUCGUCGGCGUCGCCGGCGGGGGGGCAGUAGAUGAACGGAGCCGGAGCGUCCAUGGCCGGCGAUCUCGCCCGCGGAUCGGUCGGAAGCUUCCCGGCGGCGACGACGGAGAACCCUGCGCUGCGGCCAGCGUGGGGGGUUGGGGCCCGUCUUCUCUCUCUGUGUCAGCGCGCUGCCUCUUCCUAGCUUUGCUUUGGUCUGGACUCUGGAGCUCGCCCCGUUAAAGGUGGCGCAGCGGAUGGGCUCGGUGUUGCUGCCGCACCGGAACCACUGCUCUGCUCUCCAGUGUACGUGGCUCCUGCGCCCGCCGUCGGCGUACCAAGACCAGGUGCAUCCAUGUAGAGGGCCAGUCGACGGGCGACGCGUGUGCGCCAAAAGGCUGCCGCGCCGAACCGUAGGCGCUACUCCGCUGAGCUCCUCGAGCGAAUCGCAGGCCUUGGGUGUUGAAUGAAGGGACCAGAUCCAGCGCUACAGCACAUUAGCCUAGAAAUGGUGCUACUGCUUUUGCUUCGCCGCCGUCUGCGUUCUCUGUGCCUACCCCUUGUGGAGGCUAGGCCGCUUUGACUGCAGACGUGGAGCUCAGACUUGCUGAUCAGUGAAUACUGUAGACCUAUUGGAUUUCCUGAGUGUGUACUCUGGUUACAAAAAUUACCAGGCCAAUUUCGUUCGAGUUGAAACAAAUUGUGAGUACCGAAACACUAGAACUAACACCUAACUUAGCCAACAAAUGGGCAGCGCCAUUAGCCGUCCUCCGAACCCAGGUUAGCCUGAAAUCAUGGCUUUGACCUCUUCGACCGUCCUACAGGCGAUAGAUUCCUCUCCUUACCUUCUUGCAUCCCAGCAACCACCUGCGAGUCCGUUUCCAAGUGCAGCUUCCGUAUGUCCCUCUGUAUGGCUAGCUGAAUCGCCUUUUUGCAUGCCAGAAGCUCAGCCAUAUCCGGCUUGGAGCAGUCCGGGAAGAAGUGGGAUGCAGCUCCCCUGAAAGCUCCAUCUUCGUCCCUGAAAAUCACGCCCCCACCACCGCUCCAACCGGACCUAGCCAUAGCCCCAUCAACAUUAGCUUUCACCCAACAUCUGGGACACAGUUACCCCAGAUUGUAUUCAGACGAGAUCCCUAAUAUAGUCUAAUAAAGUGGGGUUUUGAAGUUCGAAAAACAAAACAAAACAAAUUGUGAGUACGCAAAAGAACAAAGGUCACAGAGCAAGCUAGAUUUUACACAGGUCACAGAGCAACAGUCUUGGCAAUACCUAAAGGGCUAAUCUGCCUACUUGUAACCAUUACUAGUAGUACUAUUCUGGCAAGUUCCCCCUUCCACAUCCAAUACACUUUCUUCAGUCUGCUCUCACUGCUAAUCACCUGAGCUUUACUUCCUAGCGUACACGAUCACAGCUCAUCCGAAAAGCGCUAGCUACAGUACCAUGCACAUUACUGAACAAUGGCGGAAAUGAACAAUGGCUUCACGAUAAUCUACACAGCCUCGGACCUAGGGACGUUUUUUCCAUCUUCAC